AUAUCUGAAAUUGAUGAAGGCUGCAACUCUUUCUUGCACUCCACAUACUAAAAUACUCUACAAUCUUAGGUGUGUUCUCAUCAACGCAUAAUCUGUGGCCACACAAUCAACGACAUAAUCAAAACACUUCCAUAAUCUGGAUGUAUUUGAAAUGAUAUUUAACUCAAGAUUAUAUUCUCUACUAAACAUAGCAGUUUGUGGUGUUUGUGGUGCAGGGCUCCUUGUUCACCAAACCCUGUUCACCAAAGAUUGCGAUGGUGAAAAGGGCAUCUUCUAAUAGACAUCUAUGUUUGGGAAACUUCACAAACAACAAUUCAUGCACAAAGAAAUCAAGAGUUGUUCAAUACUAAUUCCGUAAAAACAAUAAAAUUAAGAAACUUAACUUGAAUCAAUCAACAUAAUCAAACAAGAAAUUGGUAAUAGAGAAACAUGCCAUGUUUUAAUUUAGUUUUAGUUGAGAGAUACCUUCUAAACUGGAGACUAUUCUGUGAACAAGACUUCAUAACCUGACAUUUUGCAUGUCCUACACAGAAGAAUUUCCAUCAAAACUUCUUUUAUAAUAAUCAGCUGCAUUUUCAUCUAAACUAUAAAUUACUACCAAUUUUCAAGAGGAGUGAGAAAGAUUAAUUACCUUUUAUAGCUUUAAAACCAUGACUGCAUGCUCCUUACUGACACUUCCCUUUGUACACUGUAAAUGGCUCUGGGAAACUGGUACAAGAAGAGUUAUAAAAGUACACUAUAGAAAGGUUAAGUAAUUUUAAUUACUUAAUAAUGUGAUUUAAGUCUUUCGACCAAUAUUUGUAGUGAUUUAAUCUUAACUGGAUCUGAACUACCUAAUUUACAAGCUAAUAGAUUUGAAUUACCUGAGCGAACAAGAACAUGUUGACGAAAAUGCUAACACAUGAAACAAUUGAAACUCAAGGACAUGACCCGAUGGAUCUGUGUAUACACUUAGAAACAACGACACAGCUUGGGAAAUUUGAGUAAAAUUUGGCUGGUAAGGUGCAAAAUGAUAUGCGUUACUGCUGUGAAACUAAUGAAACAACAUAAACCAAGCAACUUCAUUAAUUGUAGUAUGUAUAUGUAGUAUUUAAAUAAAGCAUAAAAAGUGUUAUGUGAGAAAUGAAAAUAAGCAAAGCCUAAGAUAUGAAUUAUACUUAAUAUAGAAUCGCAAAAAAUUGUAUGCAUAACUUUCGCCAGAUAACUCUCAGGUUCUAAUAGUAGUUUUGUUUCUAAGGAUAUAUUUAGUUUGGUAUUGAAAAGGAUAUCAAAAUUCUACACAUGUCUUUCUCAUAAAGAUGAUGAGCAACCCAAAUAGGAAAAAACAUAAAGUCCCAAGCUGCAGAUAGAGCGAGUGAAAGAAUCUUUACAUAUACUUACUUCUAAGCUUAUUAGAUAAAUUUAAAAUAUAAAGAUAUGCAUAUUGCAAUCAAUAACUAGUUUCACUUUUUUCUACUACUCGAUAACACCUAUGGAACCUUCAGAAUUUCAAAAAUGAGAAAUGAUGAACGAAACUCCACUAAAAUGUAGUGUAAUUCAUACAAAAUGUGAACUCGAAACUACUCUUUUUGCAACUCAAAUCAACAAAACAAACUAACUCUUCUUCCUGGAAAGAGACAUGAAACCUUAUACUGUGUACAAGAAUCUCAAUUUCCAUUAUAAAUAGGCGCACAUAAAUAAUCAUGUCGUCUAACAACUACUGCGAUCAAUUAAUCAAAAAAGAAUGAAUAGAAUUUUGUUAAACAUUAAUGAUAGCAAUUUACCCGAAUUUUUUCUCAAUGAAGAAGGGCAUGCUCCCUGUUCACUGCAUCAAAU
rnacentral:lncRNA from 1 species